rnacentral:rRNA from 1 species
AUUGAACGCUGGCGGCAUGCUUUACACACGCAAGUCGAACGGUAACAGGCCGCAAGGUGCUGACGAGUGGCGAACGGGUGCGUAAUGCAUCGGAACGUGCCCAGUCGUGGGGGAUAACUACUCGAAAGAGUAGCUAAUACCGCAUACGAUCUAUGGAUGAAAGCGGGGGACCGUAAGGCCUCGCGCGAUUGGAGCGGCCGAUGUCAGAUUAGGUAGUUGGUGGGGUAAAGGCUCACCAAGCCAACGAUCUGUAGCUGGUCUGAGAGGACGACCAGCCACACUGGGACUGAGACACGGCCCAGACUCCUACGGGAGGCAGCAGUGGGGAAUUUUGGACAAUGGGCGCAAGCCUGAUCCAGCAAUGCCGCGUACAGGAAGAAGGCCUUCGGGUUGUAAACUGCUUUUGUACGGAACGAAACGGCUCUGGUUAAUACCCGGGGCUAAUGACGGUACCGUAAGAAUAAGCACCGGCUAACUACGUG